rnacentral:rRNA from 1 species
UUGCUCUAUAAUGCACUCGAGCCGUCGAUUGGACUUGGUCCCUUCAGUCAGCGGCUGAUGGGUGAGUGACUCGUGUUUCACCUACUUGUAAGACUGUCUUACCUCCUGCAAACCCGUCCUAAUACCGCAUUAUUUUUUCCUUCACCUGAUGAUUAGCUGAAAGAUGGUUUUUGCUAUCACUUACCUAUGGGCCCGCGCCGCAUUAGCUAGUUGGUGAGGUAACCCCUCACCAAGGCAACAAUGCGUAGCCAACCUAAGAGGGUCAUCGCCCACACUGAACCUGACCCAAUCUUAUAAUAUUUUAACUGGAGCUUUUUCAUUGGGGCACCCUUCCUAUAAGACUGCAGGACCGACAAAACCACUAGUAGGGGGAGUUUUUUGAGGGUUUUCGAACCUUAAAAAUUCUGUGGUAAGGGAAGAACAAGGUACCGGAGUGACUGCGGGUACCUUGACGUAGCAUUACCAGAAAGCCACGGCUAACUACGUGCCGGCAGCCGCGGCUAAUACGUAGUUGCAGGCGUUGUAUCGCAAUUAUGGGGCGUAAGGCGCGGCGCAGCAGUCGCCUGUAAGUCUGAUGGGAAAGCCCCGGCUCACCUGGGGAGGGUCAUUGGAAACUGGGGACUUGAGUGCAGAAGGAGAAGAGUGGAUUCCACGUGUAGCGGUGAAAUGCGUAGAGAUGUGGAGGAACACCAGUGGCGAAUGCGACUCUUUGGUCUGUAACUGACGCUGAGGCGCGAAAGCGUAGGGGAGCAAACAGGAUUAGAUACCCUGGUAGUUCACGCCGUAAACGAUGAGUGCUAAGUGUUAGAGGGUUUCCGCCCUUUAGUGCUGCAGCAAACGCAUUAGGCACUCCGCCUGGGGAGUACGGCCGCAAGGCUGAAACUCAAAGGAAUUGACGGGGGCCCGCACAAGCGGUGGAGCAUGUGGUUUAAUUCGAAGCAACGCGAAGAACCUUACCAGGUCUUGACAUCUCCUGACAACCCUAGAGAUAGGGCGUUCCCCUUCGGGGGACAGGAUGACAGGUGGUGCAUGGUUGUCGUCAGCUCGUGUCGUGAGAUGUUGGGUUAAGUCCCGCAACGAGCGCAACCCUUGAUCUUAGUUGCCAGCAUUCAGUUGGGCACUCUAAGGUGACUGCCGGUGACAAACCGGAGGAAGGUGGGGAUGACGUCAAAUCAUCAUGCCCCUUAUGACCUGGGCUACACACGUGCUACAAUGGAUGGUACAAAGGGCUGCGAGACCGCGAGGUUAAGCGAAUCCCAUAAAACCAUUCUCAGUUCGGAUUGCAGGCUGCAACUCGCCUGCAUGAAGCCGGAAUCGCUAGUAAUCGCGGAUCAGCAUGCCGCGGUGAAUACGUUCCCGGGCCUUGUACACACCGCCCGUCACACCACGAGAGUUUGUAACACCCGAAGUCGGUGGGGUAACCUUUUGGAGCCAGCCGCCUAAU